ACGUAUCUCCGAGUCUGGUGGGCGUCGGCCUCGCGUCGUGCCCCCGGCUCAAACCCACAAACCCCACCGUGCUCCUUCACGGCCCAGGGCGCCGUCGGCGGAAGCCGCGUGCCCAAAGCCGCAUUCAAAUAGACACCAGUCAAAAGAAUGUAUUGCAGACUCUGAUCUGCCCACAAUUGAAA
rnacentral:misc_RNA from 1 species